AUUGAACGCUGGCGGCAUGCCUUACACAUGCAAGUCGAACGGCAGCACGGGGGCAACCCUGGUGGCGAGUGGCGAACGGGUGAGUAAUACAUCGGAACGUGCCCCGUAGCGGGGGACAACCAGUCGAAAGACUGGCUAAUACCGCAUACGCUCCACGGAGGAAAGCAGGGGAUCGCAAGACCUUGCACUAUGGGAGCGGCCGAUGCCCGAUUAGCUAGUUGGUGAGGUAAAGGCUCGCCAAGGCAACGAUCGGUAGCUGGUCUGAGAGGACGACCAGCCACACUGGGACUGAGACACGGCCCAGACUCCUACGGGAGGCAGCAGUGGGGAAUUUUGGACAAUGGGCGCAAGCCUGAUCCAGCCAUGCCGCGUGCGGGAAGAAGG
rnacentral:rRNA from 1 species